rnacentral:rRNA from 1 species
AACGAACGCUGGCGGCGUGAAUAAGACAUGCAAGUCGAACGGGAACUUCAGCUGUAGCAAUACAGUUGAAGUUUUAGUGGCGAACGGGUGCGUAACACGUGGGCAAUCUGCCGAGAAGUGGGGGAUAGCUCGCCGAAAGGCGAAUUAAUACCGCAUAUGAUCAGCUAAGACAUCUUAGCGACAUCAAAGCCGGGGCAACCUGGCGCUUUUUGAGGAGCCCGCGGCCUAUCAGCUAGUUGGUGAGGUAACGGCUCACCAAGGCUAUGACGGGUAGCUGGUCUGAGAGGACGACCAGUCACACUGGAACUGAGACACGGUCCAGACACCCACGGGUGGCAGCAGUCGAGAAUUUUUC